GUGGCAUCAUGGGAACUGCUGUACCAGGUCACCUCCUCCGUGCUUACACUGCUGUGAUGCCUACAGGAAACCAACCAGAGAAACAGAGAAUGGCCGUUUUGAGUGCUUCAGACAGUUCUCCGAAAGAGCAGGCUUCUCUAAACCGCAACACAAGGGAUUUGGCAUGCUGAGAUCUCACUGCUUUUGCUUCAGAAAGUGUUAGCCUGAAGUCUACAUCCUGAAAUAAAGAUGAAGGAAGAAAUUAGUGUUUAAAAA